rnacentral:rRNA from 1 species
AUUGAACGCUGGCGGCAGGCUUAACACAUGCAAGUCGAGCGGGGGAAGGUAGCUUGCUACCGGACCUAGCGGCGGACGGGUGAGUAAUGCUUAGGAAUCUGCCUAUUAGUGGGGGACAACAUCUCGAAAGGGAUGCUAAUACCGCAUACGUCCUACGGGAGAAAGCAGGGGAUCUUCGGACCUUGCGCUAAUAGAUGAGCCUAAGUCGGAUUAGCUAGUUGGUGGGGUAAAGGCCUAGCAAGGCGACGAUCUGUAGCGGGUCUGAGAGGAUGAUCCGCCACACUGGGACUGAGACACGGGCCAGACUCCUACGGGAGGCAGCAGUGGGGAAUAUUGGACAAUGUGGGGAACCCUGAUCCAGCCAUGCCGCGUGUGUGAAGAAGGCCUUAUGGUUGUAAAGCACUUUAAGCGAGGAGGAGGCUACUUUAGUUAAUACCUAGAGAUAGUGGACGUUACUCGCAGAAUAAGCACCGGCUAACUCUGUGCCAGCCGCCGCUGUAA